AUGGCAGACUUGCUCCUCCUAACCCUGCUUCCCUUGGCUCUCCUCUUCCUCCUCCUCCACCAUGCAUCGCCAAUCAAAGCCCUUCUCACGAGGGCCAAGUCGGUUCUGGCACCGGAGCUCUCCACGGUGUGGAAGCCACAGCCAGCUAGCAUCUUCGUCACGGACCCCGAGACGGCGCACAGCCUUCUCGUGCGUGGCAGCGCCGCUGGCUCCUUCUCCAACCGCCCACCGUCCAUUUCUCCCAGCGCCAUCCUCUCGCGCCGUCAAUACCAGAACAUCACCUCCGCUCCCUACGGUGAGCACUGGCGCGCCAUUCGUCACAACCUCACAUCGGAGGUCCUCCACCCAACGCAGCUCCACCGGCACGCGUCAGCGCGCCGCCGUGCACUACAUGGACUCGUCGUGGACCUCGCCGAGCAGAGGAAAGACGGCGUGGUUCACGCGGCGGAGAGCAUCCGCUACGCUAUGUUUGUCCUGGUGGCCAACAUGUGUUUCGGCGACGACAUCGACAAUAACCGCGUCCGUGCCAUGGCCGACGCUCAGAGUGACCUCGUCAAGUCCCUAUCUACGGCGCGCGUGUUCGCGCACGCCAUGCUCCCCGCACUGACCAGGCUCAUUUAUCGUAAUCGGUGGAAGAAGCUAGCCGCCCUGCGACAGCAGCAGGAGCAGACGUACCUACCACUCAUCGACUCCCGUCGCGGCCGGCACCGGCGACCCAGCGAGACGCCGGUGUAUGUGGACACGCUCAUCGAUCUCAAGGUGCCGGACGACCACAGUCAGGACCCAAGGCGGCAUCGAAGAAGGCUGUCCGAUGGUGAACUCGUCGGCAUGUGCUCCUAG
rnacentral:rRNA from 1 species